rnacentral:rRNA from 1 species
AGCGAACGCUGGCGGCAGGCUUAACACAUGCAAGUCGAGCGGGCACUUUCGGGUGUCAGCGGCGGACGGGUGAGUAACGCGUGGGAACGUGCCCUCUGGUUCGGAAUAACUCAGGGAAACUUGAGCUAAUACCGGAUACGCCCUUUUGGGGAAAGGCUUGCUGCCGGAGGAUCGGUCCGCGUCUGAUUAGCUAGUUGGUGAGGUAACGGCUCACCAAGGCGACGAUCAGUAGCUGGUCUGAGAGGAUGAUCAGCCACACGGGGACUGAGACACGGACCAGACUCCUACGGGAGGCAGCAGGGGGGAAUAUUGGACAAUGGGCGCAAGCCUGAUCCAGCCAUGCCGCGUGAGUGAUGAAGGCCUUAGGGUUGUAAAGCUCUUUUAUCCGGGACGAUAAUGACGGUACCGGAGGAAUAAGCCCCGGCUAACUUCGUG